rnacentral:rRNA from 1 species
UACGAAGGGGGCUAGCGUUGUUCGGAAUUACUGGGCGUAAAGCGUGCGCAGGCGGCUUCUCAAGUCGGGGUGAAAGCCCAGAGCUCAACUCUGGAAUUGCCUUUGAGACUGAGUGGCUUGAGUACGAGAGAGGUGAGUGGAAUUCCCAGUGUAGAGGUGAAAUUCGUAGAUAUUGGGAAGAACACCGGUGGCGAAGGCGGCUCACUGGCUCGUAACUGACGCUCAUGCACGACAGCCGUGGGGAUCAAACAGG